ACUCUCUGCCCCACUCGCCUUCCCCUCCUGACCCCGGUCCCAGCACAGAGGGGUGCUGAGGCCCCCGGUCUGCGCCCNNNNNNNNNNNNNNNNNNNNAGCUGGAGGAGCUUGAGGUCCUUCCAACCCAAACCAGUCUGGGAUUCUGUGAUCUAUGACAUGGAAGAGUCCAGUGACAAAACUGGCAUCAUGCAGGGGCCCAUUCAGGCAGGGAAGGAGUGAGGGUGCCCCGGAGUUCUCAGCUACAGCAUUGGCCAUUGUAGGGUGCUGGCAGCUGCUGGCCAAGAGCUGUGGGGACAAACAGCUCCUCUCUCUUUCCCCAGGCCCAGGUCAUUGCUCAGGCCAUUGGACAGGCAUUUGGAGUUGCCUACCAGCGCUUCCUGGAGGCCAACAGCAUCAACCCGAGCGAGCUGAGCCCUCGCCAGUACAGCCAUGCCCUGGAGGAGCAGGAGCAAUACAAUGCAGAGCUGAUCCACUUCUCCCAGCAGGAGAACUGCAAGGAUGUCUGCAUCCGGAAGCAGAAGGGGGAGAUCCUGGGCAUUGCCAUCGUGGAGUCAGGCUGGGGCUCCAUACUGCCCACAGUGGUCAUUGCCAACCUGAUGCACGGGGGCCCUGCAGAGAGGUCGGGUGAGCUGAGCAUCGGGGACCGCCUCAUGUGCAUCAACGGGAUGAGCCUGGUGGGGCUGCCCCUCGCCACGUGCCAGAGCAUCAUCAGGGUGAGCCUCCUCCAGCCCAGCAGCACCAGUGCUGGCAGAAAUGAGCAGCAGCCCCACUGCUUCUGAAUGUGCCCGAGAGUCUGUAACACCAGGGUGAUCCUCCUGGUGCUCUGGCUUGAGGGUGGGUAGGUGAGAGGAGGCUGUGGGGCAGAGCAGGAAGGAGCAUGGGACCCAUUCCCAUCCUAGUUCCUGCUCUUGAGUGCUUGGGAGGAAAGGAUGUGACAAGGCAGGGACAAAGCUGGGGAUAAAACUUGCUGUGGUGCCCGAGGAGGGUCGGGGGGGGCAGAUUCCUGAGCUGGAGGGAACAGGGAGUCCAGAGGAGGCCACAGAGCUGCUGCGAGGGCUGGAGCAGAUCCCAUAGGAGCCAGGCUGAGAGAGCUGGGCUGGGGCAGCCUGGACAAGAGAAGUCUCCUGAAGGGGAGACCUGAGAGCAGCUCCAGUGCCUAAAGGGGCUGCAGGAAACCUGGAGAGGGGCUUGGGACAAGGGAUGUAGGGACAGGCCAAGGGGAAUGGCUUGAACCUGCUCGAGGGGAGACUGAGCUGAGCUCUUAGGCAGAAGCUCUUCCCUGGGAGGCUGCUGAGGCGCUGGCACAGGGUGCCCAGAGAAGCUGUGGCUGCCCCAUCCCUGGCAGUGCUCAAGGCCAGGUUGGACACAGGGGCUUGGAGCAGCUGCUCCAGUGGAAGGGGUCCCUGCCCUGGCAGGGGUUGGAGCUGGAGGAGCUUUAAGGUCCUUUCCAAAGUGCCAGUGACACUUGGGUUUUACAGUG
rnacentral:lncRNA from 14 species